GUCCGCGAGAAUAUUUUCAAAAAUGUAACCAGUCCGUGGUGUAAAAAAGGUCGGAGACCUCUGAUCUAAGCAUUUGACUACUAAAUGCAAAUUGAGCCUUGUGUAUAAAGGGUUACUGAGAACAUUAUAUGCAAAAUCUACUUCCACCCAUGACUAAACCUCACCCACCCACAUGAUGAUGGAAAUGUGAUUCAGCUGAUCUUGAGUGAUAGCUGUCCAAACACAGGUCUGUCAGGCUUUGAGACGUCUAAAUCCUUUGUGGUCCUCUGAGAGUAAAUCUCCUCAAUAAAAUGUCUGUAUUCGAUACAGCAGUCAGGCGGCCCAACCAACAGGAAGGACAAUGCGCAGAAGACCCCGCUAUUGUUGCAUCUUCUGCAUUUAACUUUUUCAUUGUUUCUUUAAAUGCCAGACCACAGAGAACAUGGUAAUUUCUUGUGUCUCAGUAAGUUAUGUAAAGGCGUUACAUUAAGCUGCUUGAAGGACUUUUAAUGGUGCAGGAAGAGCCGUGUGUGUUUAAGAACUGUCCUCCUCCUCCUCCUCGUUGGGCUGUUUUUAGAGGCACACAUGUGAGUUGGGUAAGGUCCAGAGUCUCUCAGGACAAGCAUGAAUUUGCAGCAUUCAUCAUUUAUGAAUUAUGAUUACCAUUGGCUAAAUUUAGUGCUGUGUAUGCAUCUUCAAUAUCUCUAGGGCUUUUUCAGUUGGGAUGCCCCAGAUGGAUCCAAUCCCCCACAGCGUGGUUAAUCUCACGUGUAGUUGGCAAGCACAUCCUGUCAGCUGGUUCUGUGGAUCCAUAAGCUUGAUUUGGUUAUGGGAAAUUGGAAAAACACCAGAAGCUCCUCCCCUUAUGCCCCACCCGCACUGCUUGCUCUGUUUCUGGACAGGCAAUGACCUGUGAAAGGGGAUGCCCAGGAGGUCUUAGCAACGUCUUAUGCAGUGCAGGGAGGGGAACAUCUUGUAAGACCCAUGGCAUAAAUGAUGGGUUCCUCUACAUCUGAGUCCCCUCCCUCACCCCCGUAGGACCGGAUCAUGCCUCCAUCCGCCAGCCCGACCCCUCAGCGAGCCCUCGGCCCGUAUCCCUUGCUGUAGAGAGACUAGUGGAAGAAACAUCCAAUGCUGCAAGACUGAGCCACAGCUUCCUGUAACUGCAAGCCGAUAUUGGUGGUGGAACAUUUAAUGCAAAAAACCCCACCCCCCUCCUCCCUGCCUCCAAGCUCCUCCUACUCCAUCGUCAUGGCGAUGAGCAGUGAUCCUGGUUGCAUGGGGGUGGACCCUGAACCAGACUCCUCCCAGACCACUGAGAUGACUGACAAGAUGUCUGUGGUGUCGCUAAGGGCCGAUACCUCCUCCAGUGUAGUGAAGAAUGGGACAGGUGUUAAGAAAGCUCUGCCCAAGAGGCCACACCUGUCAGGCAGGAAGAUGUCAUUGCAGGAGAGAGGAACGUAUGUGUCUUCUGGGAGCGGGGCUGACCGCUAUUCCCGCAUAGCCAGACAGCCAACCAUCGAGUCCAAACGAGUGUCCAUCUCCGACUCACAGGUGAGAAAAAUUUUAAAAUCUUCU